AGCUCGUGUCGUGAGAUGUUGGGUUAAGGUCCCGCAACGAGCGCAACCCCUCGCAUUCAGUUGCCAUCGGGUAAUGCCGGGCACUCUGGAAGGACUGCCAUCGACAAGAUGGAGGAAGGUGGGGAGUGACGUCAAGUCAUCAUGGCCCUUAUGUCCAGGGCGACACACGUGCUACAAUGGCCGGCACAACGGGAAGCGAGUUCGCGAGGACGAGCGGAUCCCUCAAAGCCGGUCGCAGUUCGGAUUGAAGUCUGCAACUCGACUUCAUGAAGCUGGAAUCGCUAGUAAUCGUGGAUCAGCCAAGCCGCGGUGAAUACGUUCCCGGGCCUU
rnacentral:rRNA from 1 species